CCCUUAGAUGUUCUGGGCUGCACACGCGCUACACUGGCAGGUUCAGCGAGCUUCUUGCCCUGAUCUGAGAAGAAUGGGAAACCUUUUCAACACCUGCCGUGCUUGGGAUAGAUGUUUGCAAUUAUUCAUCUUCAACAAGGAUUGCCUUGUAGGCGUGCCUCAUCAGGGCACAUCGAAUACGACCCUGUAUUCUGUACACACCGCCCGUCGCACCUACCGAUUGAAUGGUCCGGUGAAAUCUCGGGACGGCGGCUUGGUCGCUUGCGUCCGACUGCUGAAACUUGAUUAAACCAUAUCAUUUAGAGGAAGGUGAAGUCGUAACA
rnacentral:rRNA from 1 species